UACGUAGGUGGCAAGCGUUGUCCGGAUUUACUGGGCGUAAAGCGCGCGCAGGCGGGCUGGUCAGUCUGGGGUGAAAUCUCACGGCUCAACCGUGAGCGGUCCCUGGAUACUGCCAGUCUUGAGGUGUCUAGAGGAGAGCGGAAUUCCCGGUGUAGUGGUGGAAUGCGUAGAUAUCGGGAAGAACACCAGUGGCGAAAGCGGCUCUCUGGGGACCACCUGACGCUGAGGCGCGAAAGCGUGGGGAGCAAACAGG
rnacentral:rRNA from 1 species